GGUGCUCGGUCGUCGUUCACACCCUGGCCCUCUUGUUGGUGCAGUCCGGGCACUUGUACUGCUUGAUGUGCUCGGCCCGGGCGGGCGUGAUCUUGACGCACUUCCCGUGGUACCACUUCUCGCAGUUAUCGCAGCAGAUCCAGAACUGGUCCUUGCCGUCGUUGGUUCCGCAGGUCCCGCACAGGGUGUUGUCGUGCUCUUCCGCCUCCUCGUCCCCAUCGUCGUCACCGCUCUCUUCUUCAUCUUUGGGGACCUUGGCCUUCGAACGAGCCUCAG
rnacentral:lncRNA from 1 species